UGGGGAAUAUUGGACAAUGGAGGCAACUCUGAUCCAGCAAUUCUGUGGGUGUGAAGAAGGUUUUAGGACUGUAAAACAUUUUUAGUAGGGAAGAAAGAAAUGACGGUACCUACAGAAGAAGCGACGGCUAAAUACGUGCCAGCAGCCACGGUAAUACGUAUGUCGCGAGCGUUAUCCGGAAUUAUUGAGCUUAAAGGGCAUCUAGGCAGUUAAACAAGUUGAAGGUGAAAACCUGUGGCUCAACCAUAGGCUUGCCUACAAAACUGUAUAACUAGAGUACUGGAAAGGUGGGUGGAACUACACGAGUAGAGGUGAAAUUCGUAGAUAUGUGUAGGAAUGCCGAUGAUGAAGAUAACUCACUGGACAGCAACUGACGCUGAAGUGCGAAAGCUAGGGGAGCAAACAGG
rnacentral:rRNA from 1 species